rnacentral:rRNA from 1 species
AGGAUGAACGCUGGCGGCGUGCCUAAGACAUGCAAGUCGAGUGGGUUUAGACCCACGGCGAACGGGUGAGUAAUACCUAGGAACUUUCUUUAAGUGGAGCAUAACCAGUCGAAAGAUUGGAUAAUACUUCAUGUGACCGCAAGGUUAAAGUCGCAAGACGCUUAAAGUGAGGCCUGGGCACCAUCAGCUAGUUGGUAAGGUAAUGGCUUACCAAGGCUAUGACGGUUAGGGGUCCCGAGAGGGAUAACCCCCACACUGGAACUGCGACACGGUCCAGACUCCUACGGGAGGCAGCAGUUUGGAAUUUUGGACAAUGGGCGAAAGCCUGAUCCAGCGACGCCGCGUGGACGAUGAAGGCCUUCGGGUCGUAAAGUCCUUUUGCUCGGGAACAAUAUUUUGAGCGUACCGAGAGAAUAAGAGGUUGCUAACUCUGCGCCAGCAGCCGC